AGCCGUAAACGAUGUACACUUGAUGUAAUCGGAAUCAACCCCGAUUGUGUCGAAGCUAACGCGAUAAGUGUACCGCCUGGAGAGUACGCUCGCAAGAGUGAUACCCUAAAGAAUUGACGGGGGCCCGCACAAGCAGUGGAGCAUGUGGUUUAAUUCGAUGCUACGCGAAGAACCUUACCUAGGCUUAAACUUAAGAGGACCGCACUGGAAACAGUGCUUUUCGCAAGAACCGCUUGAGAGGUGCUGCAUGGCUGUCGUCAGCUCGUGCCGUGAGCUGUUGGGUUAAGUCCCGCAACGAGCGCAACCCUUAUCAUUAGUUGCCAACGCGUAAUGGCGGGGACUCUAAUGAGACUGCCCAGGUUAACUGGGAGGAAGGUGAGGAUGACGUCAAGUCCGCAUGGCCUUUAUGUCUAGGGCUACACACGUGCUACAAUGGUCGGUACAGAAGGCUGCGAAACCGUGAGGUGGAGCUAAUCCAAAAAACCGAUCUCAGUUCGAAUUGAAGUCUGCAACUCGACUUCAUGAAGUUGGAAUUGCUAGUAAUGGCGUGUCAGCAAUAGCACCGUGAAUACGUUCCCGGGCCUUGUACACACCGCCCGUCACAUCAUGGAAGUUGGUCUAACCCGAAGUCGCUGACUCAACCGCAAGGGGAGAGGCGCCUAAGGUCGGGCUGAUAACUCAGAUGA
rnacentral:rRNA from 1 species